rnacentral:rRNA from 1 species
CACCGCCCGUCACAUCAUGGGAGUUGGUUGUGCCCGAAGUCGCUGCGCUAACCCGCAGGGGGGGUAGGCGCCUAAGGUAUUGCCGAUGACUGGGAUG